GCCAUCAUUUGCUCAGUGGCAGAGCACUGGUCCGGGAAACCAGGGUCGGGGUUUGAUCCCCACUGGUGGCU